GCCGGGAUAGCUCAGCAGGUAGAGCAGCGCAUUUGUAAUGCGACGGUCGGGGGUUCGAUUCCUCUUCCCGGCA
rnacentral:tRNA from 1 species